UACGUAGGGGGCAAGCGUUGUCCGGAUUUAUUGGGUUUAAAGGGUGCGUAGGCGGUCCUAUAAGUCAGUUGUGAAAUACGGCAGCUUAACUGUCGAGGUGCAAUUGAUACUGCAGGACUUGAGUACAGACGAGGUAGGCGGAAUUGACGGUGUAGCGGUGAAAUGCUUAGAUAUCGUCAAGAACACCGAUAGCGAAGGCAGCUUACUAGACUGUAACUGACGCUGAUGCACGAAAGUGUGGGGAUCAAACAGG
rnacentral:rRNA from 1 species